rnacentral:rRNA from 1 species
GAUGAACGCUGGCGGCGUGCCUAAUACAUGCAAGUCGAGCGAACAGACGAGGAGCUUUCUCCUCUGACGUUAGCGGCGGACGGGUGAGUAACACGUGGAUACCCUACCUAUAAGACUGGGAUAACUUCGGGAAACCGGAGCUAAUACCGGAUAAUAUAUUGAACCGCAUGGUUCAAUAGUGAAAGACGGUUUUGCUGUCACUUAUAGAUGGAUCCGCGCCGCAUUAGCUAGUUGGUAAGGUAACGGCUUACCAAGGCGACGAUGCGUAGCUGACCUGAGAGGGUGAUCGGCCACACUGGAACUGAGACACGGUCCAGACUCCUACGGGAGGCAGCAGUAGGGAAUCUUCCGCAAUGGGCGAAAGCCUGACGGAGCAACGCCGCGUGAGUGAUGAAGGUCUUCGGAUCGUAAAACUCUGUUAUUAGGGAAGAACAAAUGUGUAAGUAACUAUGCACGUCUUGACGGUACCUAAUCAGAAAGCAACGGCUAACUACGUG